CAUGUGAUCGCAAAGUGAAAGCAGGGAAGGCGCUCGAGCACGAGACAGGCGUGUGAUAAUGUCGCGAAUAGAUGAAGAGCUACGGCUUGUCUUGGGGACCGACUUGCCCGAAGUUCUGGAGCUGGAUGACCAGGAGUUUCAGAUCCCACAAGUGGAGGAUGUCCCUACCCUUGAGAGCAUCUUGGAUGAGAAUGCUGCCCUGGAUGACGAGGCUAGCUUCUUACUGCCUGAUGACUUCACCAUCCCCACACUGGAUGCAGAGGCAAAAGCUGCAGCGAAGCAGGAAAGUGAUGAGGAACUUCUGGAAGAAGAGCAUGGAGUGAUGCCCCCUUCACAUUCUCAAUGGGUCAGAGAUCCUUUGCUUCCAGUGGUUUCCCAGGAUCCUGUGCUACAGAUCAACACCCUGAGAGGCGUCUCUGCCCAAGUCGUCUCUGCUGUGGGCCGUUAUGAUGGCGGAAGGACUUCUGCCUUGGCUGUCUGUGGGAUUAUCGCCGUGGGAACCACGACGGGACAGUUGCUGAUUUUUGAUGCCAGUCAGGUGCUGAAACUGUGCUUGGGGAGCCCGGCUCUCGGGGCGCAGCAUGGACCUGUAUCAGCCCUGGGCUUUAACUCCGACAGCACCUGCAUCCUCUGUGCAUUUACCAAAGGACAGAUUCUUCAGUGGGAUGUGGAGUCUGGAAAACUGCUGCGGAGCAUCUCCGGUGUGGUUCCAGCGGGGAACGCAGUCCUUGCUGUCAAGUUCACCAGUGACCCCACUGUGGCCGUGUGCAGUGACAGUGCAGGCUCUGUGUUUGAGCUUUAUUUCAAGCGGUCUUUGGGGGCGCGGACGUGGGACUCCCGCUGCUUGUUCAGCUGUGAGAAGGGGACGGUGCGCUGCAUCUCGCCGCUGUGCCUGCGAGAGGAUUUCAGCGCACACCCUGCAGCACAGUGCCUCCUGCUGGCCAUGGUGUCGUUCCGGAAGCUUUUGAUUGUCAGACAGAAGCCGGAGCUGAGAGUGAUCUAUGCAUCUAAGGCCCAUGCUGAUUGCGUCCCCAGCCUCUCCUGGCGUCUCUUGACCUUCAGAGACUCUGCAGACCCAGUGCUGGCUUUCUGCCAAAGUUGCUCUUUCUCUCUCUAUCAGGUCAGCUUUGCUGAAGAAGACUUGAAAGUGAUCAAAAUGAUAGAUUACAGUGUCCCUUUUGAAAUUCUCAACUUUAAGUGGCUGAGCUCCAGCACUUUGCUGAUCCUGGAUACUGCAGAGAAGCUCCAUGCCUUGGACAGGGAAACUGGGAUGGAGCUCCAGGAGCUGCAGCUAGUGAACCUGCAGCUGGUCAGCACCUCCACAAAGCCCACAGGAGACCAGGCACAGCUGAAGCGUGUAACGUACCAGUCAGUGUGUGCUCACAGUGGAAAAGUUCUCCUUCUGGGAGAUAAGGCCGUGCAGGUGGUGUCUCUGAAAACAUGGGAAGAGAGAUUGGAUGACCUUGUGAGGCAGGACCGGCACGGUGAUUCUUUGGGUCUCGCCUGGAAGUUUUACGAAGGAAGUGCCAAGGCAGUCGUGGGUCUGCCUGCAGAAACUAAACUGAAGGAAGAGGUAGUAGCAUGUAAGGUGGGAAAGAUACUGUUGGAUUAUGUGGAGUUCUUGCUGAGAAGGUGUCCUGAUCAAGGGAAGAUACAGGUCAUGGAGGGACACUUCCAGAAAACUCUUCCACUCUGUGUCACCUGCUGCGUUAAGUUCAAUAAAACGGAGGUGCUGUUCGGAGAGCUGUAUGAGAAGCUGCUGGACUACGUGGUUGCGAUUGGGGUGCUGUUCCAGUGUCUGGAGCCCCACAUCAUUUCUGGCAAGCUGAGCAGCAUCCCACCCCUUGUCAUGAAGGACAUGGUGGCACACUACACAGACCACGGCAUGACUGAGCUCCUGGACACGCUUAUCCCUCACCUGGAUGUCAGGACCCUCGACCUCCAUCAGGUUGUUCGCUUAUCCCGAGAGCACAAGCUCACUGAUGCUCUCAUCCAUGUGUUUAACAAAGGGAUGAAUGAUUACGUCACACCACUAGAGGAGCUGAUUAGCAGUAUGACCCAGGCAUCUCACGCUGGGGGAGGAGAUGAGCAUGUGAAAGUCGGAAACAAGGUUUUAGUCUACAUCAGCUGCUGCCUGUCUGGCAAGGCCUACCCCUAUGGCUCAAUACUGCCCCCUAUGGUGGAGACUGUAAAAACACAGGUGUUCACUUGCCUCACCAAAGUGUGGGUGAAGGAUGUGGAGGCGAGCGAAGGACCAUACCUGUUAAUUCGGACGUUGCUUCAGCACAACACAAAGGAAUUCCUCAACGUGAUGUCGCUGGCAUUUGAAGAUCUGCAAGACAAACAAGCAAUUGAGUUUCAUCAACGAGUGAUCGACAUACUUUUGCAGGUCAUGCUGGAGAGCACAGGCUUCAGUCCCUCUCAGAUCGGGAGCCUUUUCACUUUCCUGGCCCGGCAGCUGGCCAAGGCCAAGGAUGCCCUCUUUGUAAACCAUCAGCUAUUCCAUCAGGCGCUUGAUUUUCUGUGCAACCCAGCGGAUACGACCCAGCAAGCAGAGAGACAACAGGCCCUGCUGGACCUCCUGAGUGCUGGUGGUGCUGCCUACUUUGAGGAGUCCAAGCUGCUCUCCAUGGCUGAGGCCGUGCAGUUUUAUCAGGUGUGUGAAUUUCUGUAUGAGCAGAAGCGCCUUUAUCAUCAGAUCCUUGCCUGUUAUCUGAAAGACCCUGCAAGAAAGGGUGAGACUCUGCAAUACUUGGACGAUGUCAUGAGCUCUGGUGAACUGACAGAUGAGCAGAAGGUGCUUUUGCAGAAUGAAAUCAUCUGCAACCUGCAAGAGCUGCUGUCUUUAGACCCAAGCCUCACCGCUUCCCUCGUCCUGCGACAUCUCGAGGGCAGUGUCCCCCUCAUCUUGGAAGUCUUACAGCAGAACACAAAAUCGCUGUUUGACUUUCUUCACGGACUGUUCAACCCUAGAGUGGAUCUGUGGCCUUUUAAAGCCUCCAGCCUGUUGGACCACACCUACCAUGAGAAAUACCUGGACCUGCUGUGUCAGACUGAGCCAGACUGCGUCAUGGACUUCCUCAAACUGUCAGACACCUACCGGCCAGAAGAGGCAGUUGAAAUCACUCGCAAACACAAGGUCCAUGAUGCACUGGCAUAUCUGCUGGAGAAGCAGGGAAAGACUGAAGCUUCAUUUUCAGUCCUCAUGGAGUGUGUUAAAGUGAGUUUGCAGAACUCGAGUUGUCCUGACCUAGCGGAUCGUGAAGGGAGUCUGGGUGAAGAGACUAACCCCUUUCAGGAGGUCCAGUCAGUGUUGCGUGAUGUCAUGGCCUUCCUACAGCGGGUGUCGGGCACUUUGGACAGCAAGCAAAGAGAUGACUUGUGGUUUUCGCUCCUCAGCUUUCUGCUGUCCCCUGCUGAGCGGAUACAGUGCCCCUUAUCGGCUGACGUUGAGAGAGGCAUUAAAAACCUCACCAAGGAGGUGAUAGAAAGCAUGACUUCCUACAUCCCUCUAAUGGACAUCCUCCAGCAGCUUAUGCAGGAUUCGCUUCACAACGUCGGCAGCUACGGGGAAGUGAAGACAUUGAUUUCUGGCAUAAUUGAUGCUUACGUCUAUGAGAAAACCCUCAUGGAGGCGGCCAGUAGCCUUUUCAGCCAGGACUUGCACUGGUAUCUUUGCAGCCUGCGAUCUGCCGUGUCACGUGGCCUUGCCCCCUCCCAUCAACGAUGUGGGGUGUGCACUCAGAGGUACAGCUGGGGGGGGGGCAACUCCCAGGCCCGGCUCGUCGUUUUCAGCUGCGGCCAUGUUUACCACUAUGGCUGCCUUCAGAACAGCCUGAGACAACAGGAGGCUCAGGCCCCGGAGUGGGCCUGUUUAAAGUGCCAGUCACCUAAGAGGAAGUGGUUUCCCAUCACAGCUGAGAAGGCUGAACAAGAGUCUGAGUUAACAGAGCUGGAUCGGGCUCAGAUUGCAGCUUCAGAUUCUCUGAAGAGAGCCUUCAAGAACCCUUCUCGGGUACGUCACAUUCUCCAGCCUUUUACUCCAAGCUUGAAUAGUUGUGCUUUAUCUACCCUUAAAACCUAAGCAAAUAUGAUGUUCUUAUUCCUCCAUGAACUCCUUUCUCAUACGUGAAGAGUUCUGUCUGGGUUAAAGGUCAGCUGAAUGACGUAGUUGUGCGUAGCAGGUGUCAUUGCAGAAAUAGCGACAAGGCGAGAGUCCGUUUCGGUCAGGUUUCUGUCAGCUGACUCAGUACUGUGAAAUUUACAUGUGUGAUUUACAUAUAUGUUUAGGUAUUGAUAAUGAUGAUAAAAACAGCAUUACUCUUGCUGUUUGAGCGUUGCAGCUAAUUUCCAUUAUGCUCACACUAUAUGACUUUUCCACUCACCGCUUUCCAGAUUUUCCACUCGCUGCUGUGCCACUGUUGAUCUUGCCAUCAUGCAUUAAGCACCCCGUGCCUGCACCGGUCUGCACCGGUCUGUACCGGUCUGCCCCUGCAUCGAGACUGAAAUUUCAACCCCUGUAUUAGCUUAAAUUAUACAAUCUUGUUUUGUUUGACUCUUCUGCCGGCCCCUGGAGGAUGGGCCCCCCCUUUGGGUCUGGUCCCUCCCAAGGUUUCUUCCUCUUAGGGAGUUUUUCCUUGCCACCGUUGCCUUUGGCUUACUCACUGGGGGGUCUUUACGUGGCAGAAAUGUAAAGCGCAUUGAGACAAUGUAAUGUUGUGAUAAUGCGCUAUAUAAAUAGAAUUGCAUUGCAUUGCAUUGCAUUGCUAACAAAAGGCCCAGAUUGGAGGAAAAUUGGUGCGUGAUCUGUGCUGGCGAAUUGGUGCUCAGUCGCUAUGUGUAAACCACAGGUGUCAAACUCUGGAGCCCUUCGCAGUUUUUGAUUUCCCCUCAUUUAGCACACCUGAUUCAACUCUUUGUGCUAAUUACCACACAGCUUCUGAACUGAAUCAUUUGUGGUGGAACAGGGAAAGAACUAAGCUACACAGAACUCAGCGCCCCCAGGACUCGAGUUUGACACCCCUGGUGUAAACUGUUCAAAGACCCGACCCAAUGGAAUCACCGAUGCAUCGCAGACACCCAUCAGAAAUUUCGCAUGCCAAAUAUCUUAUUAUUGUAUAUUGAUUUUUUGCAUGCUAGACUUAUUAUUAUUAUUAUUAUUAUUAUUAUUAUUAUUAUUUAUUAUAAAUAUCUUACUAUUCCUGUAGUGUGAAAAGUGUAACUGGCAAUGAGUGUGGUGAUGAGCAAUAGCUACUGAAAGCGGAAGACUUGGGGUGAGGUGAAACCCAAGGGUUAAUUUGUCGUGCAUUUGUGAAUGGCAUGCGUAUGUGUUGCCAUCUAAUUAAAGUGUUUUAACAGUUUGUAACACAUUGACAUUUAUAAUUGUGAUUUUUUUCCAGUGUCAUUCACGUGUGGUUUUGUAACAAAACGUAGUUUGGAGACCAGACAGACGCAUCAGCGAUUCCUCCCGGUGAAAUACCUUGUAGUGCAUGAGCCCUGCCGUUGAUCAGUCGUAUUUCCAUUUUGAUGGAACUCACCGGACGAGAGAUGCCUGGCCGGGAUUCCUUCAAGCAGAAGCCUGGCAUCUUCCAACCUGGGAUUAAGGAGCUGCCUGAAUUCAAACUGAAUCUAGCUCCACCACCUUUGAUAG